CCUACGGGUGGCAGCAGUGGGGAAUAUUGGACAAUGGGCGAAAGCCUGAUCCAGCCAUGCCGCGUGUGUGAAGAAGGCCUUCGGGUUGUAAAGCACUUUCAGUGGGGAAGAAAGCCUUGGGGCUAAUACCCUCGAGGAAGGACAUCACCCACAGAAGAAGCACCGGCUAACUCCGUGCCAGCAGCCGCGGUAAUACGGAGGGUGCGAGCGUUAAUCGGAAUUACUGGGCGUAAAGCGCGCGUAGGCGGUCUGAUAAGCCGGUUGUGAAAGCCCCGGGCUCAACCUGGGAACGGCAUCCGGAACUGUCAGGCUAGAGUGCAGGAGAGGAAGGUAGAAUUCCCGGUGUAGCGGUGAAAUGCGUAGAGAUCGGGAGGAAUACCAGUGGCGAAGGCGGCCUUCUGGACUGACACUGACGCUGAGGUGCGAAAGCGUGGGUAGCAAACAGGAGUAGAUACCCCGGUAGUC
rnacentral:rRNA from 1 species